UGUCGGGAGUUAGGAAAUGCAAGGGUGUUAACAGCGUCCUUGCUUGACUAAGGCUCCGGAGGAAGCCACGGCUAACUCUGUGCCAGCAGCCGCGGUAAUACAGAGGCGGCAAGCGUUGUUCGGAAUUAUUGGGCGUAAAGAGCACGUAGGCGGCUGUGUAAGUCGGUUGUGAAAGCCUUCCGCUCAACGGAAGAAUGGCAUCCGAUACUGCAUAGCUCGAGUGCGGGAGGGGAGAGUGGAACUUCUGGUA
rnacentral:rRNA from 1 species